rnacentral:rRNA from 1 species
UACGUAGGGUGCGAGCGUUAAUCGGAAUUACUGGGCGUAAAGCGUGCGCAGGCGGUUUUGCAAGCCAGAUGUGAAAUCCCCGGGCUCAACCUGGGAACUGCAUUUGGGACUGCAAGGCUAGAGUACGGCAGAGGGGGGUAGAAUUCCUGGUGUAGCAGUGAAAUGCGUAGAUAUCAGGAGGAAUACCGAUGGCGAAGGCGGCCCCCUGGGUCGAUACUGACGCUCAUGCACGAAAGCGUGGGGAGCAAACAGG